CAAACGCCUAAUACUGAGUUUACAUGCAACGUUACGUUAUGAGUUUUUGGGAAAAGUAGUCGGCUCGGACACGUACCGGUACAUUGGACGAAAAGUAUAAAGUGACCGAGGGGGGAGGGGGAUUGAAAUUUACAAACGUUACCGUUACCGUUACGUUACCGUUAACUGUGUCGCCAAUUUCGCGAGUUGUAACAAACGGCCCAGCCCAAUCGCUUUUGAUUUGCGCUUUUGAUGAUCCCAUAUUUCAUUAUUCGUGCGCGCUUUGAACUCAGAACGCAUCCCGUGCGCACCAGUGCCGUUUAUUUUACAAAUGAACAAGGACAACGCCGCUCGUGUUGUUCGCUCGCUCGCGACCGCUAAGGUAGCAAAUAAUCAACCCAAUGUAGUAUCAGGGCGGAAGCCUCCGGCGAAACAGCAAGUCGGCCGCACGGGACAGCCUUCCGGCGUGCCGCAAGGCCCGCACGACCCAGCUGCCCCUUCAGUUAUAUACUGUGACUCUCUAAGGGGAUCUGCUGAAGUUUUGGCCAUGGAAAGCCAUAGAAUAGAUAUGGUUUACGCAGUUCGCGCCAACGAACAAGUAACGUGCCAUGUAAACUGGUUGACUUUUUCAGGCCCACUUUUCCCAACAAGUAUUCGUAACGCAACGUAGCAUGUGAACUAACGGAACGUAGCAUGUAAAGAACUAGAACCACCGUAAAGUAUGGUAUCUGAAAGGGAAUGCGCUCCGAUCCAAGUUGGGAUGCCACUCUGGGUCGAACGACUUGAGCCGACUAGCAGCUUGCCAUUCUGGCCCCGGCGUCCUUGCAUGCAUAAAACGUUUUCUCUGUUCAAGUACGGCCUGUCUGCCAUGCUUAUUGGAUUUUGGCGCUACGGGUGAUCUUCCGUACUUGUCCGACCGCCUUCUGAGUUGGUAUAAGACACGGUGCUCUGGCAUGCUUUUUAUAAAGUGAGUUUGUGACACAGCAAGGCUGCUGGGUACUCUUGCAAGACUCUGGCGCUUCCAC
rnacentral:lncRNA from 1 species